UGCCUUCAACUAGCGGCCUGUUCUUAUAAAAAGCCGACCUCAGGGUGAUUCAAGUCAUUCGUCAGCUGAUUGCCAAAGUAAUCCUCUCUACCUACAGACCUCGUGGGAGAUAACAACAAAAAACCUCUUCAAACCACAUCAAGUGUGAUCACACCAAAAAUUUCAACUAUGUCUCGCCUUGUUCUCAUCCUCCUCGUUACAUGCUCCACCAUGGGCUUCGUUCUGGCUGCACCUUCCUACCUAGAUGACACCAAAGGUAAUACCGUGAAACAUUACAUCAGUAUCGAAGAUUUGAAAAAAUUAGCUGAUGUUGCCAGCGACUUGGACAACAUCUCCAACAUGGUUCAAAGGCGUAAACGCAGUUUGUCCAGUUUCCUGGUUCAAAUCAUGACGAAAGCCCAAAAGAACUCAACUACAGCAAGAUACGCUAUGUUUUAAAAAGCUAAAUUCCACCAGAACCAACGCAAAAAUGUUGCCUCCAGCAGCUUGGGAAAUUGACUCAGAAAAGAAAUGGCCGACAGACUUUGCAAAACUUUCCUGAAUGAGCCAAAUUAGACACACACAGACAUACACACACAAUUAUGUGUGUAGACAUGAAGAAAAUAGAUCCCUGGAGUUUUCCCUGUUCGUCCAAACAAAAUGGUACAAUCGUAUAAGGAACUCUUAUCUGCAACCACUAAUAUUUGUGUAGUUAUGUAAUGUGAAAGUACGUAGCAUUGUUAUGUAUAUAAAUUUGUCUUUGUAUUAACAUCUAUAUAUAUAUACAUAUAUAUAUGGUGUGAGUGAUACGAAUCAUAUUUGCUUCCCCAACUCACUUUGAGUCAGAGAAAUAUAUAUUUUCAUACUUCGUGUAAAACAGCCUACACUACUUAGCAUCCUAGCAUCCAAGGGAAAAAAAUACACAUAAAUUUCCAUCAUACCAUGGAAUCUUGUUAGAAAACCAAACUUUUGCAAAUAUAAUCCAUAUAGAUCCUCUAUUUCUUAAUGAACAUAUAUAUAUACUCACACACUAGUGUCCAGUAGUGAAUUAAGAUUUUUUUUCCUAAGACACAAGAUUAUAAACACACAGACACAUACAAACAUGUACGCACACACACACAUACUGUGUCUUAAUCUCAUCUAUUGGUUAUUUCUAAUCAUUAAUAGAAAUUUUUACCCAGACUUGCCAGUGGUAAUCGUUUGUAAUCGGAUUUAGAAAUACUAAAUACAAUUGACGCUUUCCCGUAACUUUCCCAUCAGCUCCCAAGAAAUAAAAGAAAAGCAAAUAAAUAAUAAUAUUAUAAAUAUCGCCCAAGCAUUAAAAGGAAAAAUGAAUGCGAAUAAAAGUCAACAGUCUCUUCAAAAAAAAAAAAUGUAACUUACAAGCUUUAUUUAAUUUUCAUAUAAGUUGCUGUUUUUUUUAAAUUCUAAGUAUUUCCUGACGUGUAUAUAUGUAUAUAUAUAUAUAUAUAUGGGACUGUUUCUCUUCUGUAAUUUCGAAGUAAUAUUAUUUUAGUGUAGUUUGGAUUCGAAGCAAUAAAAAAAAUCGAGUAGCUUAGCUGUCAUACAUUACUGGUAUGUAGAAAUUAUUCUUCAAAUAGCGUAGUUCACCAUUUGUUUGGUAAAUAUAUGUAGACAUAUGGAAGGCGCCAGCUAGUUUAGGUUGCUUAAAUUGUCCUCUAAGAUCGAUUUUUGGGGGUUUACCAGCGCACAAAUAACACUAUAUAAUUUCAAAGAAAUACAGAGGAGUUCAGGUUUCCUUUUUACUGUAUGGUUGUUUAUGUUCCCUUUUGGCUUACGUUUAUAUUCAGUAUAUGCUCUUAAAAUAUUUAUUUAUUCAAAGCAAUCACAUAACUCGAUAAGAUUCAAUAUCACUCACAAAAUAGACAAAAUUGUAACAUUUACACUUAAAACUGAAUAAUGAAAAUUUCAUUCAAAGUAUAAGUAAUUAAAUAUUUAUUGACAUAACCUUUGAUCUCCUUUAAAACAUUUUCACGUAGAUAAUAAAGUAUCCUUAUACACACACACACACACACUCACACACAUGCACAUAGAACGUGAAAUUUAUUUGUAAAUAUAUGAGUAUAUAUAUUUUUUCAAAACAUUUCCUGCUUACAUAUCUAUUUCAAAGUAAAGCAAACAUCUAAAUUUAAGAAAUAGUUCUAUUUAUUUCCCUCAUUCCUACACACACCCGCACAGUCAUACAAAUAUUGACAAGUAAAGAACAUACCCAUUAAAAUACAAUCGAAUGGUUCAGAGUUCUGAAGCCAUUUUGCAAAUUUGAUCUCCACACCUUUUCUACAUCGCAUCGCAAAGUUCUGAUUCUUGCUGUUGUUAAACAUUCCACUAUAGUACGAUCUAACACGACUUCUGUUCUACUUGUAACAUUUAUUUAACACCUGCACUUGACCCUUAUGAAAUUGUGCCUUAAGCAGAACUUCCGGUUCUGCAACAUAUCCCCACUCCUUCUCUUGCACUUUCAUAUAUAUUUGGUAGUCAUCAAUGAGACAGAUCUAGGAAGGAAGAUUGAGAGAGAAAGAAAGAGCUAGAGUUACGAAGAGAAGGAUACGUGAACGACAGAGAAGGCAAAAUUCGGUAAACAUCAAAACCACAGCAAUAUCAACCAUAUAAAAGUCUACUAAACUCGAUACCCCCAGUCGAUCUCACACGCAAAAACCAAAUAAGCGAGUCUUUCCCACACACUAAGUUGAAUUUAUUUAUUCAUUUUAUUUAUUUAUUAAUAAUAAAAUCGUGUAUUGUAGAACCUGUUAUAUUGCUUAUAAACAGAUGCUGCUUUGACCACGUUUUCCAGAUCUCAUCUCAAUUACACCAUCUCAGGAAAGCAGUCAUUUUUACUGGCAGCCGUUCUCGCUCGACGUAAUUUGAACUCUGAGAUUUUGACCUUCUUAGAUUUUAAUUUAACUAACGUUACACACACACACACACACACAUGCAUACAUAUAUUUACACACGUUCUCAAGAAUUAUUAUUCAACAGCUUAUGUGUUAAAUCUAUGGUUUCAAGUAUCACCAUUCAUAAAAUUAAGUACUUACAGUCGUUGUUUAGAUUUGACUAUCAAAAUAUUGCUCCACCUUUCUUUGAUGAUCCUUUCUGUUUUAACAGUUCGUGACAAGCAAGAUAUUCAGUUUGCACCGGUAGGAAAAGGACAAGCAUAUGCACUGAUGUGCAUGUUUUUAUACAUAGAAAUGCAUACAUGUGUGUGAAUUGCAUGUAAACACAAAUCGCUUAUUCUCCCAUUUGUUUUUGCUUGUACUUCUGUUCAUUGAGAUUUGUUGAGAAAAUAAAACAUUUCAUUUUUACACGUU